rnacentral:lncRNA from 1 species
AUUGUUAAAUGCCCUUAUUUUUCAUCCCCUUCAUCUAUAAAUUCAAUUCAUCUUCCGUUGUAACCACUGAUUCCUUCGUAUACCACUACAACUCUAACGGCCCUUACCGUUGUCUACAGAAACCUUCAAAUGUUAAUGUAACCAAUGAUUUCUUCUUAAACGACUUCUAUACUUUAAAUCCUUACCAUAAUCUGCAUAUACCUGUAUAC